UGACAUUUGAACUACUCGGAUGUUAGUUU
rnacentral:piRNA from 1 species